CCCAAAAUCCAUUUCUCCCUUAUCUUUUCUUGGCUGCACCAGAAGGUUCAGCUCCUAUUCUUCUUUCGUUGUUCUUAUCAGCAGCACUUCUCUCUCACUUUCUUACCAACAGCUCUCUCUCUCUCUCUCUCACUCUCACUGAAAUCAUAUAUCUCAUUCUAAGAAAGAAAUUAAAGGAUUAGCCCUAAGAUUGCAGUUUCAAAAUUUGUGGGUGUUACCAGCCUAGGUCUGAGCUCCUUUGACUUUAGGCUCUUGCUUUCUCUGCUUUUAGGUAAGGGAUAAGUUAUAUGAGCAUUUGGUAAGUCAUGAGAUUAUUUUAAAGUGUAUUAUGCAUUAAAAGGUUUUUGAUUAGAAAUAUAACAUAUAAUCAUGUUUCAUACAAAGAUAUGCUCGUGAGCUUUUGAAACCUUAUGUAUAAUUUAAGCAUAUUGAUGCUAUUACUAAUUUCAUGAACAUGAUGUUUAAAGAAAAUAAUGGAAAUGCUUUUAUUAUGAAAUGUUAUGUAAACUAUGAAUUUCAGUAUGAUGUAUAAGUAUAAAAUGUUUUCGGGUUAUGUCCUUUGGUGAUUUGAACUCAACCAGUAGGGGUUAAAUUACUGUCUUUUCAUGAAAAAUAUUAUCUGAUUGACCAUUAAAAGUGGGACUGGCUCUGCCGUACUCGCCCUUGUUGGUUACAGCUAACUUGUGGAGGAUGCCAACUGACCCCUAUGGUUGAAGAUAUGUAUUAUGAUGUGAUCCUGGGAAUCCCUAGUGUUGUGGGGAAUGCUAGAUGCGUAACACAGUGAUGCUAGAAGCCUCUCAAAUAAGUACAGACUUAUCAGAUAUGGACAAACCAAUAUGUUAUUUGUAAACAACUAUAUUAUGUUAUUAAUCAUGAGAGAAUGAUUUUAUUUAAAUGUAUUGUGAAAAGUUAAAAGCUCUCAUGAAAAGAAGAAGUUUUUGAUGAAAAGAAAAGCUGUUCUUUAAAGAUAAAAGUUUUUGAAAUUUUGUUGUGCUUUAAAAAUAAAGAAUAUGAUGAAAAAGUUUUAGUAUUCUGUAAAGAUAAAGCUUAUGAUGAAAGUACAAGUUUAUGUUAAAAAUUUAUCAGAUAUCUGUUUUUAUGAAACGUUAAGUUUUAUGACUAUGAAAGUUAUAAUAUUUUACGAGAAGAAGUUUAUAAAGAAAAGCUUCUUAUUCGUUAAGAUGUUUCUAGUUUAAGACAAAAUUACCAAUUAUCUGAUUUAAGUUAAAAUUAUUAUUUUGUAAUGAGAAUAUAUAUAUAUAUAUAUAUGUAUAUGAUAUUAAACAAUCAAUAUUACAUUUGGUGACUUUGUAAGAAAUGAAAGAAGUUCAAUCCGAAAGGUUUUGGUAAUAUUAUUCUGAUAAGAAAAAGGAGAACAAUUAUUUUUCUGAUGAAGAGUGUAUAAGUUAUUAUUAUGAAUAGUAUAAAAUACUAUGAAUGAAAAGAUGUUCUCCUAUCUGAAUAUUUAUAAAAUGAAAUGAUUUGAUUUACAUGCAUUCUUAUUAAAUUCUUGUGUAUCUUACUGUUACUUAGCUGUGUAGCUCACCUCUUCCACUUUUUCAGUUAAUAGGUUUUAUUUUGAAGCAGAGGGAGUCUUAGUCGAGUUUUGGAAAGAGUUGGUUUUAGUUUUAAAAGUAUGGAUUCCAAAUUGGAAAUUUGAUGUUUAGCUUUGUAGUAUUGUGUAUUUUAGGAUCUAAAGAAAGUUGUGUACCUUAAAGUAUUAAGAGAUGUAUUUUGUGAAAUUUAGAAUUUGAGUAACUGGUGAAUUAUGCUA